CUCAGCUGUUUGAGUGUUCCUACUCCUGGUACCAGACUUCUGAGUGGGCGAGGCUUCAGAGGAUUCCAGCCCCCAGGCUUCAAGUCCGCCAGUUGAGGCCCUAGACGAGGUUCAUCAGAGACAAGUCACCUCCCCAUGGCCUGUGUCUAUUCCUGACCCAGGGAAUCCAUGAACAUAUCGCUCGUUCACUUAAUCCAUCUGGUUUGAAUAUCUUGGAGUUGGAAAGACUGGGAGAAGCUAGAACAGUUCAAGCUUCUUGAAAACACCCAAGUGUGAGGUGAUCUAAGGGUCUGUGUUCAGCCUGGAGACCCAGAAGUACCUACUUGGUUUCAAGGGUCAGUCGUGGAUCUUCUCACCUUGCUGGUGUUCCA
rnacentral:lncRNA from 1 species